AGGAAAUAAGGUAAAUCGACAACGCUACAGGUUAUAAUAGCCGAUAAUAUCGAUUGUUAAAUCACUUUUAUCCCGAAGUAAGAAACAAUCAAAAGUCACAAUGAAGGUGUCAAUUUUCGCGAUUAUCGCCUUUUUCGGAGCUCUCGGGUGCGCUCUCGGAUACGGAUACGAGGGAUACGGUGCCGGAUAUGGAUACGUGCCGUACUACGGAGCGUCCACGGGCACCGGUGGAGUCGGAAACGGUGGAAUCUUGAUGCUGAUUGGCCUUCUCUUUCUGCUGACGUUGUUGUUCAACACCAAUAGAACUACCACCACUACCACCGGCGGAGUUACCGUACCACAAGGCUAAAUGAUCAUAGUUACGUCUGGACGACAGCCAGUUCCGAUUUAACACACGUGCCUUUUUGCUGAGCACGUGAUCCUCUUGGCUUAGACGCGCUGUUUGUGCUGAUUAUGCAAUAUAUGUAGCUUUUAUAGUGUUUUGUUAAAUAAAUUUCA